AUUGAACGCUGGCGGCAGGCCUAACACAUGCAAGUCGAGCGGAUGAAGGGAGCUUGCUCCUGGAUUCAGCGGCGGACGGGUGAGUAAUGCCUAGGAAUCUGCCUGGUAGUGGGGGAUAACGUCCGGAAACGGGCGCUAAUACCGCAUACGUCCUGAGGGAGAAAGUGGGGGAUCUUCGGACCUCACGCUAUCAGAUGAGCCUAGGUCGGAUUAGCUAGUUGGUGGGGUAAAGGCCUACCAAGGCGACGAUCCGUAACUGGUCUGAGAGGAUGAUCAGUCACGAUGGGACGAGGAGAAGGACCGACAUAAGAGGGGGUGAGGGAGGAGGGAAAGUGGGAGGAGGGGGGAAAGCGGGAUCCAGCCAGGCGUUGUGGGAGAAGAAGGUUGUCGGAUUGUAAAGCAUUUGAAGUGUGAAGGAAGAGGAGUAAGUUAAUGCCUUGAUGGUUUGACGUAACCAAAAGAAUAAGCACCGGCUAACUUCGUGCCAGCAGCAGGGUUAAUAGUGGGAACAGCACCGGUCUGACC
rnacentral:rRNA from 1 species